rnacentral:lncRNA from 1 species
GGAGUUACCUGCCUUGGUUCCUGUCUGGUCCUAAGUGCUCUGUGCACAGAAAUUUGAAAAAUACUGUACAAGGAGAUAAACAAAUUAGCACGUUAGGACCAAUUCUUACACAGAUUUAAUAUUUGUGGCAGUUGUGCAUUUCCCCUUUGCAGGAUGAUGAAAACCAGAGGAAUUUUGUGUUAACAAUUAACAAGAUGAAGAGAAUUCUGUGUUAGCUUGACAACAUUUUCUCUCCAUUUUCUCGGAGUUCAGUAUUUAUUUUCUUUCCAAUCCAACAGCUGUUGGAGUGGAGGGGCACACCUUGUCAAUUGCUGAACGACCUCCUUUGUAAAUUGAGUGAGAGUGUGCGAUUUGCCCUGGAGCAUCUUUUCAGGCAUUCUGAAUUCUGCCACUGCCAUGACAGGAGCCUUUGGACUCAAGCUGCCAUGGUCCUUGAAGUCAUCAGCAGGGUGGGACAGGGCACCAGAUGGGCAAGGAGGCUACAGCUCCUGCAGGACCCAGAAGAAAUGUCCAGAUCCAGAGGGUGAGGAAUUCAUCCACCAGCUUCUGUCAGGUUGUGACUGUGCAGUCUGUUUCUUCUGGAAGAGCCCCAAGUGACAGUGUUCAAGUGGAUCAGAUCUGCCCCUACAUAGGAUUGCUAUCAGCCAACGUGAAUGACAGACUAGGACCUCUGCCUGAGAAAUACGUUGAGGAAAGCUGUGUGAAGAGACACAAGAAUUUGCAAAGUUGUCAAGUCUUCAAGCAACAGAGGUCGUACAAACCUACAGAUAGAUCAGAUUCCUGGAAAAUGCUGGCAAAUGGUCACCACUGGGGAGGCAAAGAACAUUGUGCCCAGCAUGGUGAAUCACCAUAAAGAGGUUCCUCCCAGCAGCCAUAGGAUGGUGGCACGUACUGCUCUGGUGUCCAAGAUGAUUUGAUGUAGAAUGUCUGCAAACAGGGCCUGAAAGGAGAGAAGUAUUCAAACAAGAACUGAAAUAUCAGACAACAAAGAUCAGAAGUAUCUGCUUUAAUGGAAGAAUUUUAUGGCAGGAAGAGCGGACACAGCCCUGGGCUUCCUCCCUGAGAUCCUUCCUGACCAGGAUGCCCUUCUGCAAGGGAGGAGCUGUGACCCUUGAAGGCCAUGUCUUGGCACAUCAGGACGUACUCAUGCGCAGCACAUACUUGUUGCUCCGUUGCAAAGCAGGUGAACUUCAAAACUGAAUAUGUAGGCC